GGAGACAUAAAGGGGUGGGUUGAAAGACUGAUAUCUUGGAUUGGUAGGAUACAUUCGGUAAAAAUGAAUGUUCUCCCCAGAAUUCUAUACUUAUUUCAGGCACUCCCGGUCAGGAUGACUAAAUCUGACCUGGGAGCACUUCAACAGGCCAUAGGAAAAUUCAUAUCGCAGAACAGGAGGCAUAAAGUUUCGUGCAACGUUCUUUAUAGGGCAAAAACGAGGGGUGGCUUGGGCCUACCAAACCUCUACUUCUAUUACCUGGCGGCCCAGCUCACCCAAAUAGCACUUUGGCACACUCCUCCGGACGAAAGGUGGUGGGUGGACCUGGAAUCAUCCUUUAUGGGAUUGGAUUCCCCUCAAUUCUUUAUUUGGGUCCCUAAGGACAAUAGACCAGCUAUACAUACCGAAUGUCCAGCCAUAGUAAACUCCUUGAAAAUAUGGGACGCUACAGCAUCGAAAUACGGCUUAUCCCACAGCUUAUCCCUCUUAACCCCCUACUUAAGGAACACGGCAUUCCCCCCAGGGAUGGAAGCAAGGAAUUUUAGGGGCAUAGAACACACAGGAGUUCAGCGGCUAUGCCAUCUAUUUGAGGGCGACUCAUUUAUAUAAUUCGAGGACUUAAGCGCCAGGGCCCCUUUACGCACCUCAGACCUUUUCCGAUACCUCCAGCUUCGGGACAAUGCCCAAAACUCUGCAAUUAAAAAGUUUGUGCUAACCCCACUUACAUUUUUCGAAAAGAUAUGCAUUAAAGAACAAAUCCCGAGAGGCCUUAUCACCAUUAUGUACGCACACUUAAGCACGCACGCGUUAGAAUAGGGGGAGCUCACGUAUACAGCCCAAUGGGAGGCGGAUCUAAACAAGGAACUGGAGGGUAUUGAAUGGCAGGAGAUCUGGGAGGCCGCCUCGACAUCCUCUAUAUGUGUCUCCAUGCAGGAACAGGCUUAUAAGACUAUAUUCAGGUGGUAUGCUACCCCGGUAAAACUCUGUAGGACGAACAAAAUUUCCACAGAUGUUAGCUGGAGGGGAGGCGGACAGAAGGGAACCUGUAUACACAUGUGGUGGGAGUGUAUGAAAGCACAACAGUACUGGAAACAGGUCGCAGACCUGCUGCGGGAAGUCUUUAAUAGAGAGGUUAAGCCAGAUCCCUGGGUGUUCCUUCUGGCCAGAUCAUUGGAUAACUGGCCUAGAGUGGAGCAGGCUCUGAUACACAAAAUAAAUUUGGCAGCAAGGAGGGCCUUAGCUCAGGUAUGGCUAAAAAGCGAGACCCCCCCACUUAAUAUAGUGAUACAAAAAAUUAAAGAUACAUUCCUCAUGGAUAAAUUAACAGCUCAGGUCAGGGGUACUAUAAAGAAAUUCAAAAAGGUUUGGAGCCCAUGGUUAGACAGCGGUGAUUAAGGAUAGGUGGAAUGGGCUUAUUCCCCCAUAUCCUCCCAUUACUUUCUUAACCUAAGGAUAUCGAUGAAAUUGCCCAGCUCAACCUAGCAUGGCGGGUCUUUGAGGACCCCAAGGGGAGAACUCAGGGUAUAAUCGGCCUAAUAGGUAAUUGAGAUACUCUUUAAAAUAUGCUGCUACAUGGCAACCAAAACGCCUAGACUAGCAAUUACCAACAUAG